rnacentral:lncRNA from 1 species
AGUUAUGUUAGGUUUAAUCUGGUGGAAUCGGGUAUCUAGACUGUCAAUUAAAACGAGCGGACCACUCGAGUUGGCAAGGGACAGCUUUACCGGUAGCAGGGCUUUCCGGCCUCACUGUUGGUCCCUUUCCGUCCUAAGUCAUGGGUGACUACAGAAUCCUUCCCAGGAGCGUUGCCGCAUCUCUGGUAUCUCAAGCUCGGGAGCGUAUACCGCAUCUCCGAAUAUACAGUAUCUCAGAAGACUCAGAUGGGUGUGCGAGAGAAGACAAUUUAUAUUGCAAUUCAAAUAAUAUCAAAGCGAUAAACAUGCAGGCAAAGAAUACAUUUAGGCCAACAAUAUACAAUAUCAAAAUUAAAUAAAGCC